UAGUGAUUUUAGGUCACUGCAACUCGGGUUGAUGUUGAGACGCAAAUUCCUUGGCGAGACACACCAAGGCUGAUCAUGCUUGGAAACACUCUAUUGGAUUCCUCAAAAUGGAUGGUGUCUAUCGAGGGGAGAGUGGUCUGUGUUGUGGACAGUGAGUCUAACUUUGCUGCUGCCCUCUCUGUGCUCUUCAGCACUUCACCAGGAGUCGACCUCUGCAGCCUUGGAGCUGAUACAGAGGAAACAAAUGCACAGCGAAAGCAGAAGUGAGCUGCUUGCUCCAUCCCGGAGCCUGUUUUCACUUGCAGUAGAGUUCUUCUCUGGCUCCAGUCUAGCCCUGCUUGCUCCUCUCUAUCAUCCUUCUCUCUCAGCCCCUUUCUCUCUCGUUCUCUCUCAUUUCUCUCUCAAAGACAGACAGGCAAGCAGUUCUUGCUAUUGUUUUUGU